rnacentral:lncRNA from 1 species
UGGAAAGGCUGUAUCUGGCAUUUUCCUAGGUCCUUAGUUUCCACCUUCUAGACAUCCAGCAGGAGUGACCAUGCCCAGCCCCACACCUGAAAUGGGACUCCCUUGUAGAGCAGCUGAGACAUCUACAGACAGAAGAGUGCUCUGGUGAGACAGGCCACAGGGGUCCCCAGGGAGGGUUGGGGGCCAGAAGAUUCUGAAGGCUUCCAGUCUUGGGCUCUGUGGUUCCUCAAAGAGGUUAGGUUUAACUAAAACCAGGCCUCCCCUCCCACGAUUCAAAGAGUGGGUGAGUGCUCUGCGUCAGGAACUCUGAUCUGGACCUAUUUUUUCAUUUAGGUCACCAAGAGACAACCCCUAACCCCCAAGCUAGGGAUGGUGCAAGCUCUGGCAUGAGAUUUUCUUCUAGCAACGUGAUGCUUACAGGGACAGGUAGAAAAGCUGGUGAUCAGGCCUGCUGUCCUCCGGGUAAAGACAGUGGGCCACCCACGCUCUGAGAGGCCGGUGGUGCCAGGCCACAACACUGGGUGCCUGUACCCCUGGCUCUGCAGACACCGGUCAUGGAGGCCCUCCCCUCUCCAUAUUACCCUCUUGCUGCUCCUAUAUUUCUUCUAGUUAUUAAACAAUUUGGGCCAUUUUUCUGUGCAUCCGAUCUGACAUUUUUGCUCUCAGAUGAAACAUGAUAAAGGAAGCCAAGCCGCCAGUAUUCCUGGAGGGGACCUUGGGUGCUGGGUCUUGGGCUCCAGGGCCCUAAUGGGACUGAACCAGAAGGAGCCAGGGAAGGGCAAACACUGGGGCUGAGGCCCUAGGACCCAAUGGCCAUUGGUGGCCGGGACUUAUGGCCCCAACACACCCUGUCCUCAGGCCACAGACACCAUGGGCUUCGGUCAGGUCCAGGUCCCUGCUGGCCAUAUCCCACAC